UACAGUAUGCACAAAAAAGAAAAAGUCCAGAAGAAUAUACACCAAAUAGUACUAGGAGCUCUUCUGAGAGAGGAUAGGUAGGAAGGCAAGGAAAUCCUCCAUUUUCUUAUACUUGUGUAUUGUUUAAACAUCCACCUGGCUAUGUAUUAUAUUUACAUUACAGAAAAAUACUGAAAUGAUGAGUCAUCUGAAAUCUGAGCCUUUCUCUCCACUAGUAAAAGACCUCCUGUUGUUUUGCAUUGUCUAUAGGAUAAACUGUAAGCAAUUUACCAUGAUCUGCCCUGGCACCUGCUCUGGUCUCCUCUCAAAUCAUCCUGCCUGCUCUGCAAGCCCCCUUACUCCCCACAGCACACUGGGCCGUUUUUUUUGUGACUCCCUCUCUGCACACAUGAUGCUUCCUUUUCUCUCUAGUCGGCUCCUUCUUAGCUUGGGGAGAUUUUUACACUGAAAUUUUAAAAUGUUCAGUGAAGUCUAGAACAGAGACUCGUAUGGAAAAAUGUUUUAAAUAUCCCCAUAUUAUUCAUAUUGUUCAUAUUAUUCAUUAAUAAUCUGUAGGAGAAGGGUGCACAUGUGGGUCUGCUUUCUUGUUUGUGGACUGGGUGUUUUCAGCAUCAUCUAAGUAGCCAACACAAACAUUGUAAGUCAAAUAGCCCAGUCUGAGAUGUUGAUUUAUAGCUAUAUUCACAGUGAAUGUAUUCAGCUGUAGUAAUAGAAUACCCUGUUAAUGGGCU
rnacentral:lncRNA from 1 species